GUUUAGGCUAGCGUUUUAGGGCCCUAAUGGGCUGUUUAGUGAAAACACUGUAGGGAGCAGCGUUUUCUCAUUAAGUUAAAUCGUUGGCAGCAGCAGCAUUUUCUAAACAGAUACAUAUCAUCUUCUUCCUCAUUUCCCCAAUUCCCCAUUUGAAUUUUAAACCCUAAUUUCGAAUUUCCUUUCUUCUCUCCCUAUAAUCUCCUUCUAUUUCUUCCCCAUUUUGUUGUUUAUCGGUUUAACUUUUCUCUCUUUUAGUCUUUAUUAUUCAAUUUUCUGUUUAAAGAUAUGUGGAUUAUUCAAAUUUGUUCAUCUUCUUCCUCAUUUUUCAACUUUGUUCAUAAUUAGGUUUUGUAUCUUUUUAGUAAUGUGAGUUUUUUUUAUGCAGAGCUAGUAAUUCCUCACUCUUUACUUCAUUAUGUUGCUUGAUUUGAGGUAUGUUUAUUGAAUUUUACUUAUUUUUAUUAUUAUUAUUAUUAGUAAUUUUAUUCAUGAUCAUUUAUCAUCAUUAUUUUUAUUAUUAUUAUUAUUAUUAUUAUUAUUAUUAUUAUUAUUAUUAUUAUUAUUAUUAUUAUUAUUAAUAAAGUAUGUUGAUGUUGAUUACUUAGGGAUAUGUAUAAAUGUUUUUAAUUGAAUGAUUGAAUUGUUGCUUUUGUUAAAUACUUGGGAUAUAUGUUGAUAUUGAUAACGUGGGAUAUAUGUUGAAUGAAUGAAUGUUGAAGUUGAUUACUUGGGAUAUAUACUUGAUGUUGAAUGGAUGUAGUAAAUAAUUGAAUGUUGAAUUAUGAAUUGAAUUGUCAUAAUGAAAAGUAAACACAUUAAACAAACAGGAUGGAGAAUCCUGGUUCAAUAGAUCCUUCCGUGUUAGUUUUACAACCUACCCAUCGUUCACAAUUCAUAUGGACCGAAAAACUAGACUCCGACAAAUUGCUUCAGACUCGACACCACCAUUCGGUGGUUAUGAGAUGGCCCGUAAAUGAUAGGGUUUUGAGAUACAUGCGCGAAGCGGGUUUACACGGUAUUCACCGAGUGGGUCAGAUCCCAUUAGAUCGAGGAAUUAUUAUCACUUUAGUUGAGCGAUGCAGACUUGAGACGCACACCUUUCAUCUUUCGGCGGGUGAAGCGACCAUCACACUACAUGAUGUUGCUAUACUUACCGACUUACCGGUGAGUGGGAGGGCAAUCACCAGCCUAGUCCGAGCCAUACAAAAGAGCGGAGACAUAGGAUGUUCGGGGUUCUACCGUUAGACAAAGCGAUGAUUGGUUCUUCGGUGAAGGCGACAUGGAUGCUUAACACCUUUGGUCAUUUACCAGGCUCCGACGCUGAGGAUGCAGCUGUAGAGCGUUAUGCUCGCAUUUACUGCUGGGUACUUAUUUCCGGCUAUUUGUUCGUCGAAAAAUCCGAAAACAAGAUACAAGGGAUCUAUUUAGAGCUCCUUGACCAAGACUGGGCUAACAUCGCGUCUUACAGUUGGGCCAAUGCCGCACUUGCUUUCCUCUACAGUCAUUUGUGUAGAGCCACCUUGAUCAAGAGAAGGAAACCAGUAAGUGACAUUACAGGUCCAUUGGUUAUUCUCCAAGUAGUACAAAACCUUAGCUAUAUUUACAUAAUAAUGACGUUAUUGAAUAAUUUUACUUAUAUUUCCUUGUAUUAUGCAAUUGUGGAUAUGAGAGCAUAUAACUUUUUGCGCUCUUACUGUCUCAACGCGACGACCUAGGGGAGAAGUUGGGCAGCCUAUUCUCCUCCAUGUUGAGCUGGAGGAUCCCGCGGAGGAAGAGCCAUAUGAAUCGAGAUGGAUCGUGCCUCGAUUGACGUAUUUGAACACCUCACGAGGUCUAUAUGUCUUUCGCGAUUCACUUGAUCGCAUGGCCAGUGUGUAGAUAAUAUGGGACCCGUAUCCCCCAUAUAGGGGUGACGAAGAUGAUUGGCGUGUACGAAUGCCUAUGAUCUUUUUUGACGUGGUUGAAUACCACAACCCUGAACGGGUCAUGUUUCAGUACGGUUUGCGCCAAACGAGGCCUGAUCCACCAGAAGACCACUGCAUGCUCCACGACAUGGAUCGUAGGGGGAAAGCCAUGGUGAACUGGGCUGCGUAUCACCGGGGAUACAUCGAGGGGUGGGAUGGACGUGAAGAUUACGUAGUUCAGGGGGACGAGAUUGGUGAACCGAUGGAUUUCCAUGAUGACUAUCUCAUCUGAUAUCGUGGUAUCACCAGACGGUUCAUCAAUAGAGGAUAUGAACAGAGCGACCACUCCCUCUGAACUACAUGCCCUCUGGCGUGCCAUUACAUGUCCUGACGCAACACGUGCUGAGCAUUCGUGACUACAUACAUUCACAUCGACAUGUAUGUCAUGAACAUUCAAUCGAAGUGGUUAGGAGGUGUGAUAGCGUGAUGGUAGGCCUUGGUUGAGCAUCUGCUUCAACCAUUACUGCAGGAUGAUGUUCCUAGUUCAACAACACAAGCAGAUGCUACGAAGAUGUCAACUGAUCAUCAAUCGCCAUAUACACUCAGUGUACUUCUCACGGCUCCCGGACCCUCUCUGGGCGAGUGUUCUUAUAUAUCUCCUGUUCAUCCCACUAACUUCAGACUUCAUCAACAAUCAGAUAGUGAUACCAUCUAGUUUAUCCUAAUCUAGACACUAUUUAUGAGGCCGAUACAUCCACUGCUGAUUCGUAGAUUAUGUAUAUAUAUGUGUAUAUGUAAUGUUAUAUGCAUUGUAUAACUUUACGCUUUGAGAUAAUUGUAUAUAUUUGUAUAUUUAAUGUUAUUUUUAUUUGUU